CCUACGGGUGGCAGCAGUGAGGAAUAUUGGUCAAUGGGCGGGAGCCUGAACCAGCCAAGUCGCGUGAGGGAAGACGGUCCUAUGGAUUGUAAACCUCUUUAGUCGGGGAGCAAUGCCGGGCACGUGUGCCCGGAGGGAUAGUACCCGCAGAAUAAGCAUCGGCUAACUCCGUGCCAGCAGCCGCGGUAAUACGGGGGAUGCGAGCGUUAUCCGGAUUUUUGGGGUUUAAAGGGUGCUUGGGGGGAUUUUAAAUUCAGCGGUAAAAUGUUCGGGCUCAACCCAGGCCUGCCGUUGAAACUGGGGAUCUUGAGUGGGCGAGAGGUAUGCGGAAUGCGUGGUGUAGCGGUGAAAUGCAUAGAUAUCACGCAGAACUCCGAUUGCGAAGGCAGCAUACCGGCGCCCGACUGACGCUGAGGUACGAAAGCGUGGGGAUCGAACAGGGUUAGAUACCCGAGUAGUC
rnacentral:rRNA from 1 species